rnacentral:rRNA from 1 species
AUUGAACGCUGGCGGCAGGCCUAACACAUGCAAGUCGAGCGCGCGGCGGACGGGUGAGUAAUGUCUGGGAAACUGUCCGAUGGAGGGGGAUAACUACUGGAAACGGUAGCUAAUACCGCAUACCAUCAGAUGUGCCCACAUGGGGUUGGCUAGUAUGUGGGGGAACAGCUCACCCAGGCGACGAUCCCUAGAUGGUCUGAGAGGAUGACCAGCCACACUGGAAAUGAGGCACGGUCCAGAAUCCUCCGGGAGGCAGCAGUGGGGAAGAUUGCACAAUGGGCGCAAGCCUGAUGCAGCCAUGCCGCGUGUGUGAAGAAGGCCUUCGGGUUGUAAAGCACUUUCAGCGGGGAGGCGUUACCCGCAGAAGAAGCACCGGCUAACUCCGUGCCAGCAGCCGCGGUAAUUC